rnacentral:rRNA from 1 species
UACAGGGGGGGCAAGCGUUGUUCGGAAUUACUGGGCGUAAAGGGUUCGUAGGUGGCCACUUAAGUCAGACGUGAAAUCCCUCAGCUUAACUGGGGAACUGCGUCUGAUACUGAGUGGCUUGAGUGCAGGAGAGGAAUGCGGAAUUCCAGGUGUAGCGGUGAAAUGCGUAGAUAUCUGGAGGAACACCGGUGGCGAAGGCGGCAUCCUGGACCGGCAUUGACGCUGAGGCGCGAAAGCUAGGGGAGCAAACGGG